rnacentral:tRNA from 1 species
CUAAAGUGACAGAUAAAUGUGUUAAAUUUAAGAUUUAGUUAUGAAAUUUUUAUUCCUUUAGAAA